CAUUAUAGAAAAAUAUGACACAAAAUAUAGAUUAGUCUAAAGGAUGUAGUUACUAUUUUUUGAUCUAAAAAACAGUUAUCCCAAUAAUCUAAUCUAAUUUAUAUUUUCGUUGGAUUUACAGGAAAUAAAGAACAAAUAUAGUUUCGCCAUAUCAGGGUGAUCGUGGAUCAGCCAUUCUCUUUGAUUCGAGCAAGAUUUCUAAGUCUUUGAUCAUUUAGUUGAAAGUGUCAGGUGCAGACUGCACCGUGCAGUUGAUCAAUAAGCAAGAUCAUGUUUUGAUGGACUGUAAAGAAGUGAUGAGAAGAAAGAAAGUAUGACUUUAAGAAUUCAGAAAAUGAGAAGAGAACAAAAAUGGGUUCUUUGAAAAAGAAAGCCAUCAAUGCCUCUACCAAACUCAAGCACUCUCUCAAGAAGGUAAAAAGAAGAAAAAUAGAAGGCUGAGUCAGCUCGGUCUCCGUUGAAGAUGUUCGUGAUGUCGAGGAUUUUCAAGUAGUUGAAGAGUUUAGACAAGCCUGGUCAUGGACGAGUUGCUACUACCCUCUAAACAUUACGACUAUCACAUUAUAAGAGGUUCUUAAAGGCAAGGAAAUUGGACAUUGAGAAAGCAAAGCAAAUGUACUGAUCUCUCUGGUGGAAAGAGAAGGAGAAGGAGAAGUCUCAGAGGAGAGGAGAGGAGAGGAGAGCGCAAAGGAUGUGUCCUCUGACAGUAGAGAAGGUGCUUUGGUUCCAAAAGCAUUGGGAUUCGAUUUAAGUACAUAGAUAUACAUUGCAGCUCGUGAUAUAUAUAGGAUGUAAGAAAGCCAUCAGAUGUAAUCUUAUGAAUCCAUUCAAUUUUCAUGACAACUGACAAAGUAGUGCCAUAAAAAACAUAUAUGUGAUUCUUAACUUACUAUGUUGAGUUUGCAGCUAUCUCAUUUUUAAGAAAAUAGCUCGACCACAAGAUAUUCAAGGAGCUACUGGAGUUUCAUCACAACAAGCAUGUGGGAUCAGUUUGCAAUAGCUGUCAAGGAAACUCCUGAGAGAAGAACAUGAACACCAACACAUCGAAGAACUGUUUUUUUUAAGUAUCUAAGAGUAAUCUCUUAUAAACCUAAGGAGGAAUAUUACUUUUACGCAGACCUUCAUUAACUUCUUUGUGAAGGUACAAAUUGCCAUGACAUAUUUGGUCACUGAAAUUCCAGUCAUGUUUUUAUCUCAUUGCCUCAGAAAGAGAACAAAAAACUUGAAAAUGUGCUGCGUAAAUAAGUAGUUCAUUCCCCGAAUUUUUUUUUCCAUUUUUGUCCUAGGCUUUUUCAGUUUUUUUUUUCUGUAUGAUUACUGAUUUUUAUUUAUUUGUUUUUAUGUAUGUUAAGAUGUAACUAAAACAAGAUUAUGUAUCUCAUAUUAUAGAAAUUUCAAAAAAGAUCACUUUUGGCAAAUAGUAACAUACAUAUGGUGGUCUCUCUCAACUAUUAUGUGUCAAGAUUGAUUCAACACUAUGCGUUCUGAGACCAAACCAGUUAAGAUUUUCUUUAAUUUUGGUCUCCAUGCGAGAGCUAUAAGCUUAUACUCAUUUCCAAAAGAUGAUUUCCCCUUGCUGAAUGUAAAUGGGUCAAAUAUUUAUAUGAGUUAGAUAUGGACAUGUAAAAUAUAAGGAGAAAAAAAGAUUGUGAGGCAAAAUUGUCACCCUGGAUAUUAAAUAAAAGGUUUUUUCGAACAAACCAACUAUAACUUUUACAAUAUUAAUAUUAAAGAUUUCUUUCUUCUCUCUGAUAAAUUGCUAAUUACCAAUAUAGUUCAUAUAAAUUCGAAACCGAAAUCAUAACGAACCUAUAUGUGUUACAUCAAGAAGACAAUCAUAUUGUUUUAUUUAUUUACAUUAUUUUAAUUAGUGUAUAGCUUUAAGAGAUUAAUGGAUUUUUAAUAAGGCUAAUGAAUAUAACUAUGUAUUAAAAUUUAUUUUGGAUAAAAUAUUUCAAUUUUUUUAAUAAAAAUACUCUCUCUGUUUCAUUUUAGUUGUUAUUUUAAAUUUAUGCACACAGUUUAAGAAAACAUUUAAUUUUGUAUAUUUCAGAAAUAAAAACAUCAUUAUCUAUACAUCUAACUACAUUUCAACAAAUAGAAAAAUAAACUCGAGAAUAUUGUUAAUAAAUUUUGCAUUGAAAUUCUAAAAACAUGCUUAUUUUGAAACAAAAAAUUUCUCUACGACGACAACUAAAUU